rnacentral:rRNA from 1 species
UACGAAGGGGGCUAGCGUUGCUCGGAAUCACUGGGUGUAAAGCGCACGUAGGCGGAUCUUUAAGUCAGGGGUGAAAUCCUGGAGCUCAACUCCAGAACUGCCUUUGAUACUGGGGAUCUCGAGUCCGGGAGAGGUGAGUGGAACUGCGAGUGUAGAGGUGAAAUUCGUAGAUAUUCGGAAGAACACCAGUGGCGAAGGCGGCUCACUGGCCCGGUACUGACGCUUAAGAGCGAAAGCGUGGGGAGCAAACAGG